rnacentral:lncRNA from 1 species
AUGUGCAUAAUGUUGAGAGUAUUGGGAACGACAAUGCUUGAUCUUCAUUCUUGCUAGAUUAGGCACGUCAUUGUCUAGCCAUAGAUGGGGGUGAGUGUUGUAAAGUUUGAUUUGGGAGUAUGAGAAAGUGGAAGGAAAAGAGUGAACUCUUGUGCUUAAUUGACUAGUCUUUAUGGGAUAAGUUGAGAAACUUCUAGCUCAGUUUAUGAAAAGUCUUGGCCCCAGAAAAAAAAAAAAGAGAAAGAAACAGAAAAGAAAAAAUAUAUACAUAUAUGAAAAAAAAAAAAAGAGAAAAAAGGAAGAAAGGGGGUUAGCAAAACUGUUUAGAGCUAAGUUUUGUUUUGAAGUUAAGAAAAAUCCUUAUGAGAUUUCAAAGAAAAGAGUUUUGUGUGCAGGGCGUUCUUGAGAUCUUUUGGUGAGAGAUGUGAGUUGGGCUUGACAUUGGGGAAAGAUUGUGUAAUUGUAUGUUUGGUUAAAGGGUAGAACAAUGGAGAUUGAACAUUGUAUGCAUGAGUUGGUCCCUUUCUUAGAUAUAUUAUGUGCAAUG